GAUGAACGCUGGCGGCGUGCCUAAUACAUGCAAGUCGAGCGAACAGACCAGGAGCUUGCUCCUCUGACAUUAGCGGCGGUCGGGUGAGUAACACGUUGAUAACCUACCUAUAAGACUGGGAUAACUUCGGGAAACCGACGCUAAUACCGGAUAAUAUAUUGAACCGCAUAGUUCAAUAGUGAAAGACGGUUUUGCUGACACUUAUAGAUGGAUCCGCGCCGCAGUAGCUAGUUGGUAAGGUAACGGCUUACCAAGGAAACGAUUCGUAGCCGACCUGAGAGGGUGAUCAGCCACACUGGAACUGAGACACGGUACAGACUCCUACGGGAGGCAGCAGUAGGGAAUCUUCCGCAAUGGGCGAAAGCCUGACGGAGCAACGCCGCGUGAGUGAUGAAGGUCUUCGGAUCGUAAAACUCUGUUAUUAGGGAAGAACAAAUGUGUAAGUAACUAUGCACGUCUUGACGGUACCUAAUCAGAAAGCCACGGCUAACUACGUG
rnacentral:rRNA from 1 species